GCCGUAGGGCGCGAGCGUUGUCCGGAUUUAUUGGGCGUACAGAGCUCGUAGGCGGCUUGUCGCGUCGACUGUGAAAACCCGUGGCUCAACCAUGUGGUCUGCAGUCGAUACGGGCAGGCUAGAAUUCGGUAGGGGAGACUGGAAUUCCUGGUGUAGCGGUGAAAUGCGCAGAUAUCAGGAGGAACACCGGUGGCGAAGGCGGGUCUCUGGGCCGAUAUUGACGCUGAGGAGCGAAAGCGUGGGGAGCGAACAGG
rnacentral:rRNA from 1 species